UUGUAGUAUCUAAUCUGCCUAUUCCACUGAUCCCAUGGACUGUCGAUCAAGCCAAUAUUUUGAAACAUCAGCCUUUUAUACUGCUACUGCACAAACUUGGAUUCUACUUACCUGCCGACACCGGAAAAAUCUUCGUUCGGAUACCAAACUUCUGGACUCCGGAUUACGUAUUCAGAAUAGCACAACUGUUGGGACCAAUAAACAAAGAUAAGCUUAAAUUUGAUGUUGAUCUACUAAAAGGAAUAGAGAACUGCAAUGCCUUUGAGAUAAAACCACACGUAUCUGCCACUUUCUUUGAUCCUGGAAGAUUUUCUAUUCCAGAUCUGAAAUUAACACCAUCUGUUGUUCGUUACACACCAUUACCAAACUCUACUGAAUGGUUCCAAAAUAUUUUAAGAAUCAGAAUACCUACAUCUGCCGCGGAUUCUUAUGAACCG
rnacentral:lncRNA from 1 species